rnacentral:misc_RNA from 1 species
GCACACCUCGAGGCGGCAAGAGGUGCCCUCCACAGGAUAUUUUGUUGUUACCGUGCACACCCUCACUCCCUCAAACAGACAUUCAGAAUGAGCUUCGCACGCCGGCCAAUCACUCCCAUCGAGAUCUUGCGUAACUGCCGCGGCAAGGAGGUCUCCAUCGAACUUGCGGACGGCGAGACGGUGAACGGCACCGUCAUGCGCACGGAUCGUGCCAUGAACGUGGUAAUCAAGCAGUGCACUCGCACUGGCGCUGACGGCGAGUCGUUUUGGAAGUCGCGUGAGUGCUUUAUCCGUGGCGCCAGCGUCAAAAACGUGCGUAUGACGGACAGUGCACUUGUCGCCGUGCCGGCGCCAUCGAAACGCAAGGCGGCGGGCGGCAAAGGCACCGAUACCCACAAGGAGAAGUCGGUAGGAGGUGGCAAGCGGCCACGGAAGUAGCGCUGUUUCCUUAUGGGAGGUGAAUCGGCGCCUUCCUGACGAGGGAGGGGACGGCACACCGCGCAGCGCGUGGUAUUUCAGGGGUCUGCACCCCAUUGUGUGGGGAGGCGAGGCAGCCCCCACUACCCCUGCCAAUGCACAAGCACCUCUGGUGGUGACAGGGUCAGGUGCCUGCGACGAAGGGAGGUCAGAGCGAUGCAUGGCUGCUGAUGCCGGCGCUCAGGCCCUGGAUGGCGUUGCGUGGGGGCGACCUGCGACGGUGAACGCGUCUGUGCAGCCCAUAUGGCCAGGCAGCGUGUGAGCGUGACUGGAGUGCUGCACCUCAUGCGCCCCUCGCUGGCCACUGGUGUGGGGAGCCUGAGCCACCCCGCGGCGGGAUGCGCGAGGUGGCGACCGGCAUAGUGGGGGCAACUGUGGUGCUGACUGCGAGGCGGCGGGUGGGUAGAGCUUGAGGGCAGGGGGCCGUGCUCGGGUGGCUGGGUCGGCGCACGACUGUGAUGCGUGUCGAGUGCUGCUUCGCGCGACGCGAUGGGCCUGCGACAUGCCGGGCGAGUAGGGUGGGCCUGCACCCAUGUAGUCUAGCAGUGCAUGAUGAACGGGCUGAAAAGAGGCGAAGUGGCUGUGUGUGUGUUAGAGGGGGGGGCAAGACUGCACGAUUUUGUGACGCCUCUCCGAUGGAACGUUUUCUGCUGCUCCUGCUCUUAUUGCAAGGCUUUCCGCAGAUGGUACACGUGUGCUCGCGUUGUGAUGAAUGUCUUUCCGGGUGUCUGCGGAGGCGCACGAAGGCGCUCCACUGCGGCAGACACUUGAGACCCGAAGAGUUGCG